rnacentral:misc_RNA from 1 species
UUAAGUUCAGGGGGUAGUCCUGCUCGAUUGGAGGUCAAAGUGUAUAGAUUGAUUUGUGGUAAGCCCAUCCCGACCGACGUCCCCAUUGAAAGUGUGAGCUUAUGACAACGGGUCAAACCGCCAGUACAAAGGUACAGCUUGUUGCAAUUCAGCGCAGCCCAGAGCGUCGAAACACUCGGGCAAAGGCGCCACGAUCCGAA